UCAGAAGCGACAGCAGUCAGAAGCCACCAGUCCCUGCAGACCACAAUAACACAAGGAGUGGAUGAAGAGUCGGGCAUGUGGAAGAGGGGGCCCUAAGUGUGAAACAGCUUCAUUCACCCUAAGGGAGAGAGAGCAGGCCCAGAACCAUGUCGGCAGCGCACGCCUGAGUGGCAGUUCAUGAAGGACAGAAGCAGAGGAACUGAAAACCAACACACGGCAUACAGCAUUUGCAAAGGCACAGAGGUAGGAAAAGGACAUGCUCAGCUUUCCUCCACCCAGGCACUUCCACCAUGCCGCCAAAGUAAGAACUGAGAUUUGUGAAACUGCGCCAAGACAAACCUCACCUCCUUCAAGUCUGGGGUGUCCAAGAUCGCGUGCCAGCUACCAGUGCAGGGACUGAGACUGUUACCCUUGUAGCUGAAUGAUAUGUAAGUUCUCGAAAGGAAGGGAAAGUAAUAACAAUGGUAACGUGGGUGACUGAUUGCCUAAACAUGCUGAUUCUAAGCACCUCUGGAAUUAGACUCAGGGAAGUCUCAGUCUUUGCAUUUUGGAUAAAUGCUUAAGUCAAACAUUG